UACGUAGGGGGCAAGCGUUGUCCGGAAUUAUUGGGCGUAAAGAGCGCGUAGGCGGUCCGAUAAGUCGGCUGUGAAAGUCAGGGGCUCAACCCUUGAAAGCCGGCCGAUACUGUCGGACUAGAGUCCGGAAGAGGCAAGUGGAAUUCCAGGUGUAGCGGUGAAAUGCGUAGAUAUCUGGAGGAACACCGAUGGCGAAGGCAGCCCCCUGGGUUAACACUGACGCUCAGGCACGAAAGCGUGGGGAGCAAACAGG
rnacentral:rRNA from 1 species